rnacentral:rRNA from 1 species
GCCAACCACCGUAUCACCCUGAAUGCACCCAACCUCGUGAGAUCUCGGAAUCUAAGCAGAGUUUAGCCUGUUUAGUACUUUAAUGGCAGGCUACCUAAGAAUACCAGAAGUUGUAUAUU